AUGAACGCUGGCGGCGUGCCUAAUACAUGCAAGUCGCGCGAACAGACGAGGAGCUUGCUCCUCUGACGUUAGCGGCGGACGGGUGAGUAACACGUGGAUAACCUACCUAUAAGACUGGGAUAACUUCGGGAAACCGGAGCUAAUACCGGAUAAUAUAUUGAACCGCAUGGUUCCAUAGUGAAAGACGGUUUUGCUGUCACUUAUAGAUGGAUCCGCGCCGCAUUAGCUAGUUGGUAAGGUAACGGCUUACCAAGGCAACGAUGCGUAGCCGACCUGAGAGGGUGAUCGACCACACUGGAACUGAGACACGGUCCAGACUCCUACGGGAGGCAGCAGUAGGGAAUCUUCCGCAAUGGGCGAAAGCCUGACGGAGCAACGCCGCGUGAGUGAUGAAGGUCUUCGGAUCGUAAAACUCUGUUAUUAGGGAAGAACAAAUGUGUAAGUAACUAUGCACGUCUUGACGGUACCUAAUCAGAAAGCCACGGCUAACUACGUG
rnacentral:rRNA from 1 species